AUUGGUGCUGAAUUUUGAAUUGGUGUUGCAAAGAAUGUUUGUUAAUACUAUUUUGUGUUGUUUAUGCUUUUGCAUGCCAAGUGUUCGACAAUAUGCCAAGUGUUUUAAAUAUGUUUUAAAAGUCCCAAGAUACAACUUCUGCCACUUUUUGUUAGUAUCUCUCUUGACUUUAUAACUGUUCAGUUGGUUAUUAGGGAUUGUUAUUAGGCCACGUUGAUGGCCCUUAGUCUACCAUUUUACAUAUUACAGGACAUGUGGAAACACUUUCGCAAGCUGCUGUGUAAUAUAUUUCUAAUUGGCACAUUGAUUGAAUUGAAUUCUUAUAAACACUAUCUCAAACUUUACAUUUUUUUGGUGCUACUGUCAGUAUUCAGUAAUUUGUUUGAGCUUUAUUAUAGAGUAAAUAGAUGUAUAAUCCAAUCCGCAGGAGCCAGAUGCCACCCUUAGGAACAGAGGAUUAGGCCGCCUUGCUUCUUGCUUUGUGAACUCCUUGGCAACAUUGAAUUACCAUGCAUGGGGUUUUGGUCUAAGAUACAAGUAUGGUUUGUUCAAACGACUUAUAAGGAAGGAUGGUCAAGAGGAAGUUGCUGAAAGCUGGCUCGAAGUAUUUACAUAUAUGCAUCAAUUUGCAGAUCGUGGGCACUAUUCUGUGGAGACUGUUACAGUUCUGGUGGCCUUGAAAGUUCGCUACAGGGAUAGAAUUACACUUACCUGGGGAAAUCAUGAGAGCCGUCAAAUUACUCAAGUGCUUUUCUCUUCAAUGACUAUUGGGAGGAUAUAGGGACAAUCAGAUCACUCUUUGAGGCAAAUUUUUUCCUCACCGAAUAUGAUUUAAGAUCAGUCACAUUAUGUUUGUAAAUUCAGCCAUCCAGAUUUUGCUUUUAUAAAGCAGAAAAACCAAUGUAUACAUCAAGGAGAAACUUACCGCCAUCGAAUAUUGACAAUAGCAAGAUUGUUUACUCAAUAGUAUCGCAUAGAUGAAUUCCGUGGAAGGACAGAGACAAAAUAGAAUCCUAGGAUUGGACUUAUUUUGAUUUGAAGCAAACAUUUUUUUGAAUAUCAUUAUGCAAUUCUUAGCAAGAGAUUUAUUAUGUUGAUAUUUUUAUCAAGAUAUUAUUUUGUUUUCCAGUUAAUUUUGUUAUUUUUGCCA